AGUUAUUUAUCUUUCAGGAAAGUAAAUGUUUUGAAAGCAUUGUAAAAGAGUUCGACUCUCUUAAUAACUU
rnacentral:tRNA from 1 species